rnacentral:tRNA from 1 species
GGCUUUAUAUUCAUGGGAUGAUUGUAGAAUGCAAUUCUAUAGGAGUAGUAUAGUUGUGGCUACUAAAGCCU